rnacentral:lncRNA from 1 species
GAUACUUUAUAUCCAACUUCCGUUCCCUAUGGGUUGACUUCUUUUUUUAGCCCCCUCGAAAUGGCAAGAAGGGGUUGAUGGCAUCCUAAGUAAGGCCAAGAACUCAGUGAGGACAUUGCCUCUAGUGGUUCUCAGUCCCUGAAAAAAAAAAAAAUCUAUGGCCUACCAUCACAGAGGUCUCUACCUCCACAGCAGAGUGGCGUCCUAGCUGCAUGGGAAACGGAAGAGAAAUACAUCACAUGUGGAAAACUCAGACAUCAAUAAGCAACUGGGUAGGCCUUUUAGUUGGGGACCAACCACAGAACUGCCUCUCCAUCAACAAUCAAACAGUCUUUAGCUGUGAUCAGCCACUUCCAUCACCUCGGAGACUGGCAGGUUUCCAAUAAAGCCAGUAACUCCCUCCCCCAGGGUAAAAUCAUCUGCAGGAGGCAGCCAUUGUCUUUGCGCCCAGCAAUUUGACGACAGGUUAGCUUGCACUCUAUUAGCCAACAGCUACACCCUGACCCCUGACCCUGACAUUGACCUCUUACAGCCUUCUCCGGAGGUACACUCUGAUCUUUUGAGGUGGCCUGCCCCUGCUGGUUAGCAUAAGAGAAGGCUUGUCAGGGCUCUCGGGGAGUCACCCCUGCUCCCAACAGGAUGCUUAAGACUCCAAGUACAGAAACAAGCCCGAGUUGAACCCGAGAUGCCAAAGGUGAAAGUUCAGGAGCAGAUCCAUCAGCAGCUUGUCACCAAAGGACCACGUAAGGACUAUGGAUGCUUUCAGCCCAGGGAUGACCGUUGUCUCCAGACAGUCCCGCGACUUAAUGGAAAAGGCAUAUCAGAAUAUGGCUUACAAAAUACAAAAUAAUGGACUGAGAUGUACAUUAUACGAGGGUGUUAGAUUGCUAUGUACUUACAGUGGUGGAAUUAGAUUGAAGUGUUCUGCCGGGGUAGUUAGGUUGAAAUAUGGAUUAUCCCAGGAAUGGUAGCUUCAGAUGUGCUUUGUAACAGUUGUUAAAUUAAGAUUUGCUCGGCAGAGCAGGCAUUAGCCAGAGAUGUGCAUUAGACCAAGUUCUCAGUGGAAGAUGUGGAGUCCACUUUGACGAGGUGGAGUGGGGGGAGAUAAGAGGAAGGAGAAAACUCCUUGGGUUGGAUAUUUUUCAAGGUUACGAGACACCCCCGCUGCAUUAGAUGGAUUUCAGGGAGUUGAGUCCAGGGUCUAGGAGAGAGCACGCAGGAUAAAGUCCUUUUCCCUGUUUCUCCCCAGCCAAACAAUUUGCCAUUUUCCCCACUUUUCCUGUUAGGGCCUUAAAGGCCUCCCCGUCAAUAAAAACAUUAGCUCACUAAACAGCCUGAUGGCUUUUCCUUCCCUGGCUUAACCCUUCGGGAGCUGGGGUUUCCUUUGGAUUUGUAAAGAUAUUGAUUCCAGAUAAUGUUUGCCUUUCUAACUCUCUCUUCUGUAGACUUGAUGGAUAGGUUCAGGGCUACAUCUCGGCAGCCAACUCACCACAGCUACCCAGGGAAAGGGGAGUAGAAAGUCAGGCAAGCGUUCAGUAGUUAACACCAUUUGAAUCUCUUCCCCGGGAUGGGCAGGCAGAAAUGUCUCAGCUAGGGAGAGAGAGGCAGGCAGGCUGCAGUUGCCACCAAUCAGUGCGGGCUGCUCACUUACGCAUCUUUGAGUUCACCUUAGUUUGGUUUAUAAUUUCUGAUUAAUAUCCAUCGCCAUCUCGAGACUGUCUAUCAUUGAGAUACUAUAUUUUCUUUUAUUUUUGUUUUGUCUUCUACUGUAGCCCAGGCUAGUUUCAGACUGAAAGCAAUCCUCCUGCUUCAGCCUCCAGGUGCAGAGUUUACAAAUGUGCAUCACCAUGCCCAGCCUGAGCUACAUUCCUCUUUUGAGUUAUGUUUUUUAAGACAAUGUUUCAUGUUAUCCAGAACAGCUUUAGACUCCUUGCAUAGAGCUGAGGAGAGCUUUGAAUUUCGAAUCCUUCUCCCUCUAUCUCCCAAGUGCAGGGAUUUUAAAAGGCAGAUACCAUCAUGUCUAGUUUCUGUGGGACUAGGGCUUGAACCUGGGGCUUUGGGCAUGCUAUCCAGGAACUCUAUCAAAUAAUCCAUAUUCUCACCUCCCAGAGUUGCAGGGUUUUUUUUAACUUUAAGAAAAUCUUAAGUUGAUUUAUUUUAUUUUCUGUGCAUGACUGUUUUGAUUGCAUGUAUGUCUGUGCAACACAUGUGUGUCUUAUGCUAUGAUGUUCAGAAGGUGUCCAGUUCCCUGGAACUAGAGGUACGGGUGCUUGGAAGGCCACAUUGUGGCUUCCUCUGCAAGAGCAACAGGUGCUCUUAACCACCCAGUGUGCCUCCAGCCCUGAGUUGUCUUC